UACGAAAGGUGCAAGCGUUACUCGGAAUCACUGGGCGUAAAGGGCGCGUAGGUGGCGCGACAAGUCAGUGGUGAAAGCUCGACGCUCAACGUCGAGUCGGCCACUGAUACUGUUGGGCUUGAGCACUGUAGAGGCUAAUGGAAUUCCGGGUGUAGCGGUGGAAUGCGUAGAGAUCCGGAAGAACACCGGUGGCGAAGGCGAUUAGCUGGGCAGUUGCUGACACUGAGGCGCGACAGCGUGGGGAGCAAACAGG
rnacentral:rRNA from 1 species